GAUGAACGCUGGCGGCGUGCCUAAUACAUGCAAGUCGAGCGAACAGACGAGGAGCUUGCUCCUCUGACGUUAGCGGCGGACGGGUGAGUAACACGUGGAUAACCUACCUAUAAGACUGGGAUAACUUCGGGAAACCGGAGCUAAUACCGGAUAAUAUAUUGAACCGCAUGGUUCAAUAGUGAAAGACGGUUUUGCUGUCACUUAUAGAUGGAUCCGCGCCGCAUUAGCUAGUUGGUAAGGUAACGGCUUACCAAGGCAACGAUGCGUAGCCGACCUGAGAGGGUGAUCGGCCACACUGGAACUGAGACACGGUCCAGACUCCUACGGGAGGCAGCAGUAGGGAAUCUUCCACAAUGAGCGAAAGCCUGACGAAGCAACGCCGCGUGAGUGAUGAAGGUCUUCGGAUCGUAAAACUCUGUUAUUAGGGAAGAACAAAUGUGUAAGUAACUAUGCACGUCUUGACGGUACCUAAUCAGAAAGCCACGGCUAACUACGUG
rnacentral:rRNA from 1 species